ACGCUGGCGGCAUGCCUUACACAUGCAAGUCGAGCGGUAGAGAGAAGCUUGCUUCUCUUGAGAGCGGCGGACGGGUGAGUAAUGCCUAGGAAUCUGCCUGGUAGUGGGGGAUAACGUCCGGAAACGGACGCUAAUACCGCAUACGUCCUACGGGAGAAAGCAGGGGACCUUCGGGCCUUGCGCUAUCAGAUGAGCCUAGGUCGGAUUAGCUAGUUGGUGCGGUAAUGGCUCACCAAGGCGACGAUCCGUAGCUGGUCUGAGAGGAUGACCAGCCACACUGGAACUGAGACACGGUCCAGACUCCUACGGGAGGCAGCAGUGGGGAAUAUUGCACAAUGGGCGCAAGCCUGAUGCAGCCAUGCCGCGUGUGUGAAGAAGGCCUUAGGGUUGUAAAGCACUUUCAGCGAGGAGGAAGGCGUUGCAGUUAAUAGCUGCAGCGAUUGACGUUACUCGCAGAAGAAGCACCGGCUAACUCCGUGCCAGCAGCCGCGGUAAUACGGAGGGUGCAAGCGUUAAUCGGAAUUACUGGGCGUAAAGCGCACGCAGGCGGUUUGUUAAGUCAGAUGUGAAAUCCCCGAGCUUAACUUGGGAACUGCAUUUGAAACUGGCAAGCUAGAGUCUUGUAGAGGGGGGUAGAAUUCCAGGUGUAGCGGUGAAAUGCGUAGAGAUCUGGAGGAAUACCGGUGGCGAAGGCGGCCCCCUGGACAAAGACUGACGCUCAGGUGCGAAAGCGUGGGGAGCAAAC
rnacentral:rRNA from 1 species